GAUGAACGCUAGCGGGAGGCUUAACACAUGCAAGUCGAGGGGUACGGUAGCAAUACUGGAGACCGGCGCACGGGUGAGUAACACGUAUGCAACCUUCCCUGUACAGGGGGAUAACCCGGAGAAAUUCGGACUAAUACCCCAUGAUGAUAUUAUGGGGCAUCCUUUAAUAUUUAAAGCUCUGGCGGUACAGGAUGGGCAUGCGCGACAUUAGCUAGUUGGUAAGGUAACGGCUUACCAAGGCGACGAUCAGUAGCCGACCUGAGAGGGUGACCGGCCACACUGGAACUGAGACACGGUCCAGACUCCUACGGGAGGCAGCAGUGGGGAAUAUUGCGCAAUGGGGGGAACCCUGACGCAGCAACGCCGCGUGGAGGAAGAAGGUCUUCGGAUUGUAAACUCCUGUCUUCUGGGACGAAGUAUGACGGUACCAGAGGAGGAAGCCACGGCUAACUACGUG
rnacentral:rRNA from 1 species